AACGAACGCUGGCGGCAGGCCUAACACAUGCAAGUCGAGCGGUCCCGCAAGGGGCAGCGGCAGACGGGUGAGUAACACGUGGGAAACUACCCCGAGGUACGGAACAACUCGGCGAAAGCUGAGCUGAUACCGUAUGUGACCGAGAGGUGAGAGAUUUAUCGCCUCGGGAUGUGCCCGCGUCGGAUUAGCUAGUUGGUGAGGUAACGGCUCACCAAGGCGACGAUCCGUAGCUGAUCUGAGAGGAUGAUCAGCCACACUGGGACUGAGACACGGCCCAGACUCCUACGGGAGGCAGCAGUGGGGAAUAUUGGACAAUGGGGGCAACCCUGAUCCAGCCAUGCCGCGUGAGUGAUGAAGGCCUUCGGGUUGUAAAGCUCUUUUGGCGGGGACGAUGAUGACGGUACCCGCAGAAUAAGCCCCGGCUAACUUCGUGCCAGCCGCCGCCGUAACAC
rnacentral:rRNA from 1 species